UUCCGGUUGAUCCCGCCGGACCCCACUGCUAUCGAGAUGGGACUAAGGUAUGCUAGUCGAACGACCAGAACUAUGUCUGGAAGUGGCACACUGCUCAGUAACACGUAGCUAACCUACCCUUAGGACGUGGAUACCCCCGAGAAAUUGGGGUUAAUCCGCGAUAGAUGUAAUGUCCUGGAAUGGUAUUACGUCUAAAGGUAUUUCAUACAUGUUUGAAAUAUGCCUAAGGAUGGGGCUGCGGCCGAUCAGGCUGUUGGUGAGGUAAUGGCUCACCAAACCUUUGACCGGUACGGGCCAUGAGAGUGGUAGCCCGGAGAUGGACACUGAGACAAGGGUCCAGGCCCUAAGGGGCGCAGCAACCGCGAAACCUCCACAAUGCACUCACGUGCGAUGGGGCUAUCUCGAGUGCCACCUGAUGAAGGUGGCUUUUCCUUGGUCUUCAAAGCCUUGGGAAUAAGAGGGGGGCAAGACUGGUGUCAGCCGCCGCGGUAACACCAGCCCCUCGAGUGGUGGGGAUGAUUAUUUG
rnacentral:rRNA from 1 species